rnacentral:lncRNA from 1 species
GGGGGAAUAGGGCUCUCUGUCCAGCCAUCCUAUCAAAGCAGUGAACAAGAGGCCAGUGAGAAAGCCUGUCUCAGAGAACAGAGUGGACAGCUCUUGAGGAAUGACCUCAAGGUUGACUCUGGCUUCCACAAAUAAGCAUGACCUGGAUUCACUCGCACACAUGUGCACACAUACAUUCAGACCUGCCCAUAGAUACACAUAAGAGGCUAUGACCGACUUGAAACACCUUGUCCAGAUCAAGUAUUUUCAUCCAAUUACAUGAUCAAUGUCAACAUCAGGCCCUGGCCCUAGAAACACCAGCCUUAGGAUCCAGGCCUGCCACGUGGCCAUGCUACAUAGAUCUGUGACAUUUUAUAACAUUUUUAAGUGACUUAGGAUAAAUGUCACUAGGCUACUGCAAAAGUAAAUGAAUGACCUUUAAAUAUGAUCAUUAACUAGCUCUUUCCUUGUCCAAGCAUGACUCCCUGCCCUUUUACACAAACUCCAGAUGUCUGACUCCCUGAACCUGACCGUCCUAAUUAGCAGAGCCCUAAUCUUUCCUUGACCAUCUCCUGUUCAGAAGUGGAGAAGUUAUCCAUCAACAGUCCCUGCCUGGAAAGAGCUUGGCUUCUGCCCUCCACAUGGCAUGCGGAUUUCCUUUUAUCUAAGAGAAAACCUAGUCACCAUCAUGGGUAUCACCGACCCAACUCUGGACAACAUGCUGCAUCCAUGAACUGUUCACAGAACUCUGGAAAAACCUUCUUUCAUUAAGCAAACAUCUUAAUAAAACGACCUGCCCUCUCCUGCUGUGCAUGUGCAUUGCACACACAGUGGUAAGGCUAAUUGUGCUUAUCCUGACAUGAAUGUCCACAGAGGACUCUGGGCACAAUUCUACCACACUAGCAGCAGAUGUGAGUCACUGGAAUAAGUUCUUCAUCAGUAAAGGUGCUGAAAUGUGGAGUCCAAGAGAGCCCCGGCUCUGCACAGAGAAGACAUCUGGGAGAUGCUAAUUGAAGACUGAAGAAAAAUGAGAGCAAUUCCAUGGUCUCUGAUCUAAAUUAUACAUUCACCCUCUCCUGGCUCUUUGAGACACAUAAUAGAUGAAUAAAAAGAGCAAAACUUUGGAGCAUUAAUUCUUAAAACGCAGGCAGGGGAUUCUGCAUCCAGGUCCUCCUGUUUGUCUCUGACUUCCUCUUGACGGAUAGAAA